rnacentral:rRNA from 1 species
UACAGAGGGGGCAAGCGUUGUUCGGAAUUACUGGGCGUAAAGGGCGCGUAGGCGGCCUUCUAAGUCGAACGUGAAAUCCCCGGGCUCAACCCGGGAACUGCGUCCGAGACUGGAAGGCUCGAAUCCGGGAGAGGGAUGUGGAAUUCCAGGUGUAGCGGUGAAAUGCGCAGAUAUCAGGUGGAACACCGAUGGCGAAGGCAGUGAUCUGGGCCAAGUACUGACGCUGAGGAGCGAAAGCGUGGGGAGCAAACAGG